AUUGAACGCUGGCGGCAGGCCUAACACAUGCAAGUCGAGCGGAUGAAGGGAGCUUGCUCCUGGAUUCAGCGGCGGACGGGUGAGUAAUGCCUAGGAAUCUGCCUGGUAGUGGGGGAUAACGUCCGGAAACGGGCGCUAAUACCGCAUCCGUCCUGAGGGAGAAAGGGGGGGAUCUUCGGACCUCACGCUAUCAGAUGAGCCUAGGUCGGAUUAGUUAGUUGGUGGGGUAAAGGCCUACCAAGGCGACGAUCCGUAACUGGUCUGAGAGGAUGAUCAGUCACACUGGAACUGAGACACGGUCCAGACUCCUACGGGAGGCAGCAGUGGGGAAUAUUGGACAAUGGGCGAAAGCCUGAUCCAGCCAUGCCGCGUGUGUGAAGAAGGUCUUCGGAUUGUAAAGCACUUUAAGUUGGGAGGAAGGGCAGUAAGUUAAUACCUUGCUGUUUUGACGUUACCAACAGAAUAAGCACCGGCUAACUUCGUG
rnacentral:rRNA from 1 species